GACGAACGCUGGCGGCGUGCCUAAUACAUGCAAGUUGAGCGCUGAAGGUUGGUACUUGUACCGACUGGAUGAGCAGCGAACGGGUGAGUAACGCGUGGGGAAUCUGCCUUUGAGCGGGGGACAACAUUUGGAAACGAAUGCUAAUACCGCAUAAAAACUUUAAACACACGUUUUAAGUUUGAAAGAUGCAAUUGCAUCACUCAAAGAUGAUCCCGCGUUGUAUUAGCUAGUUGGUGAGGUAAAGGCUCACCAAGGCGAUGAUACAUAGCCGACCUGAGAGGGUAAUCGGCCACAUUGGGACGGAGACACGGCCCAAACUCCUACGGGAGGCAGCAGUAGGGAAUCUUCGGCAAUGGACGAAAGUCUGACCGAGCAACGCCGCGUGAGUGAAGAAGGUUUUCGGAUCGUAAAACUCUGUUGGUAGAGAAGAACGUUGGUGAGAGUGGAAAGCUCAGCAAGUGACGGUAACUACCCAGAAAGGGACGGCUAACUACGUG
rnacentral:rRNA from 1 species